rnacentral:lncRNA from 1 species
CGAAUAUUAUUUUUAAUUUUAUAAAUUAAAAUUUUACUAACAUUUUCAUCAGUUCUUUGCAAUUUUGCUUACUUGUGAUUAUUACUUUUAAGCAUCACAUGGCUCUAUAAUUAGAUAGAAUAAAGCACGGUUUUAAAGCAUCACUCAAUGUUUUUAUUAUUUUAAACAUAACGUCAAGCGAUAAAUUUUUUGAUUAUGUCGUAAACAAAUGAGUAGUAAUUUCGAAAAGGAAAUUUAACAAUUAUAAUACUAGCUGACAAACUUUUUCACAAAGUUCAUCUGCCGCUUGUUUUGUGCUGGCCUCAGCGUAAACUCGUACAACGUCUUCUGUUCCAGAUGCUCUAACAAAUGAUCUUCCCUUUUCGUACUUUGCAACAAGUGCGUCAAUUUUCUCUUGUAAUCCAUCUGGGCUCACAAGUCUUCGUUCAGCAUCUGUACUUUUAUAUAUUGUGCGAUCGGAAACUUUAACCUUAGCUAGUUUGUUAGGCAAGUCCUUAUAAGUAUUGCUCCAUGCACUAGCAUCCCAAUGUAAUGCAUUAAGUACCGAAAUCGUAGCAAGAAGAUCACUAAUUGCAUCACCUAUAGCUUGGUUGAUCAAAACGGAAUAGCUUUGUAAUUGCUCUAUAGCAGCCGCUUGAACUGGUGAAGGUGUAAAGAAAGGAUGUGCUAAGUUAGCAAGCGCCUUGUCGCUGAACAAAACAGUACCAUGGCCAUUUGCCUCGAAGUAGACACCAAUAUCAAACUCUUUGGCUGCUUUAUGAAGAUGUUUAACACCAGUGGGAGUGAAGACAGUAGUAAUGCCCAAAUCUUGAAGAUACUCAGUUGAAGCGCCAUUGGCGUACGCGGUUUGGACAACGCCUAAAGAAAAAGGCAUACCGGACUUUUUAACCAAUAUGUUCAAGUAGCCAACGAGAGCAGUACUAAUUUUGUCUCCAUCAAGAAGAUGAAAUUUCCUAUUUUGAUUUAUGUAAUAGAAGAUCAGUCGAUCGGCAUCACCAUCAAUGGAAGCGUAGAGUUGAUUUGGCUUAAUUUUUCCUUCAAGGGCAAGCGGAGGGGACUGUUUCGUCUUUACAAAGUCUGCUCCACAGCCAUUGUUAAGUAACUCACUGGCCCGAACAUCUGUGUUAACGAGUUCUAUAGAAAGGCUGUCCUUAACAAGGCCCGCUACUGUUUUUAAGGGUUGCGAUCCUACACCAUUUGCACAGUCUACUACAACGCGAGAAACCGUAGGGCUAUCCUGCAUUGAAGGAUCUAUUUUAGAAAAGGCUGACGUUAAUGUAUCAUAAUACUCAGUAAUGGGUGGCCCUUCUUCAAGAAAAGAAGCUGCGGUAGAUUUGUUUAUCAACCUCACCAGCCAAUGCAACUGUGGUGUUGUAAUAUACCCAUAAUCUAUGUAGCUUGCAGACAUUUCAUCCAAGCAUACCUUCAGUAACUCAGCGAGUCUGGGUGAGGAGGGUCUGGUAUCAUAACCUAUAAUAACUUUGGGCUGGCAGGUAGUAGGAGUCAAAAAUUGCUUGAUUAAAAAAUCAAAUUCUGCCUUGGAAGGGGCGUUCGCAAGUUGUGUGCAUUUAUCCUCCCAUUCCAUAGCGAGCAUACCGCCAUCGGCGUCAAUGAUCUUCACACCAUUAUCUUCCACAGGAUUAUGAGAAGCAGUAAUCAUUACUAUUUAUUAUUAUUAAUCAAAUAUUUCUACUUGACUACACAUACCGCCAAUAGUUUUCCCUUUUAGCUCCAUGCUACGCAAAGCUGCUGCAACUCCAGAACUAUAAACAGCUGCUUCCAAAUCACUAGCUCUUUGAUCAAGUUAAUGAAAGCUGCAUUAUAUUAACUUACUUUGUUCGAAAACCAGCAGUUCCAUAUGAAUAUUUUUUGUUCUUGGUCAUUGUGUUAGUUGCUGUUAGUAAAUAAAGAAGCGAGUUUGUCACGCAAUAAGUAAAUUCAGUCGAAAAUAACAACUCAGCCUCUCUGCAUUUCGCUUCUGCAGAUUGAUAGAUUUUAAAUUAUUUGAUAGCAAUUCGUUUAAAACCUCGAACGUGUUUUGGAGCUAAAAGUACUCUGCACAAUUUUAUAUCCUCUCGUUUUCUUCCAAUGUUUACAUAAAGCCCAUCAUAGUAAUGUUUUUAUUUCAAAUUAGGAACCGCUGUUUCUAAUACAAUUUUUAAGAUUUGGCUCAGAUUAAUCAAUUGCGGUU